CUGUCCUUAUCCAGCUGACCGUCCUCCAGUUAAACUGGCAACGGGAGUUUCUGGCUUUCCUUUGUUGACUUUCCAAAGCUAGCAUGCCACACCAGCCCUCCUCCUGGGCUGUGUCCUCAUGUGGAGCUCAACACAGCCAACACUGGACGGCAACCGCGCCCGCGCACGGAAAGAGGGACAGAGGAUGCACGCUACCGCAUCCGGCAGUGCUUCUUGGGAGUCGCUCUGCCUCCCGCAGGGAAACCAGCUGACCUGCUGGACUCCGGGCGCUUUCAUCUUUGCAGCUGUUCUUCAGGGACAGAUGCCUGCAGAUCAAGAUAUAAAGCUCUCAGCUACUGCUCAAGCACCAUGCCUGUUGUUUCCCACCAUGAUGAUCACUCACUAACUCUCUGAAAUUCUGCAGAAAGCAGGCAGCAGCUGCUUCCCUGGACUGAAGGGAAUCCUCUGUGACAAUCAACAGACCGAGAGCCCUGCUUACUCAGACUUUCUCGCCUUCUGGGGAGAUCAAUGGACUUUGCCAUUUCAAUUAUCUUUCACAAUAUCCCCUGGUGCUAGCUCCAACUGCCCUCUCUGAGCAAACAUUCCUCUCUGGGGUGGGAGGUUUACUAAACUUUUUGGCUCCUUUAUUCCCAGCCUCCAUCAGUGUGAGCUCUUUGAAAGGGCCUGGCUUUCCUUCAGCUCCAAAGCACACAUCCUCAGUCUUCCUUUUCCAAUUUUGC